rnacentral:lncRNA from 1 species
UUGAUACCAUAAAAAUUUGGAAAUCUAAUUCACAAAGGAAGUCACUGAAAUGAAUGACUUUGUCCCCUGUUCUCUGAAAUUCCCGGCAGAAAUGUGCAGAUUUGGUUUUGCAUUUUAUACAAAUAGUAAAUCAAGUCCAAAUGACUUGAAAUUUUACAGAGGUGCUCAAGACUCAUGUAGGGACAUUCUGUAAAAUUUUCAAAGCUUUUUGAUAUCGACAAACCGUCGAUCACAGUAGGUCAGUAGCCUACGAAAAAUCACCAAAACUCAUCUCAAACUCUUAAAUGCUCAAUUCAACAUUUAUACAAAGCAAACACAUCAAAACUCAUUUUAAGCACUUAAAGCACUUAAAAACAUUCAAAUACAUCAAAAUACUCAUAAUACUCAAUCU